rnacentral:rRNA from 1 species
GUGUCAGCAGCCGCGGUAAUACGUAGGGGGCGAGCGUUAUCCGGAAUUAUUGGGCGUAAAGGGCGCGUAGGCGGAUAUUUAAGUCAGGUGUGAAAACCCAGGGCUCAACCCUGGAUCUGCAUCUGAUACUGGGUAUCUUGAGGACAGGAGAGGAAAGUGGAAUUCCUAGUGUAGCGGUGAAAUGCGUAGAUAUUAGGAGGAACACCAGUGGCGAAGGCGACUUUCUGGACUGUAACUGACGCUGAGGCGCGAAAGCGUGGGGAGCAAACAGGAUUAGAUACCCUGGUAGUCC